rnacentral:rRNA from 1 species
UGGGGAAUUUUGGACAAUGGGCGAAAGCCUGAUCCAGCAAUGCCGCGUGUGUGAAGAAGGCCUUCGGGUUGUAAAGCACUUUUGUCCGGAAAGAAAUGGCUCUGGUUAAUACCUGGGGUCGAUGACGGUACCGGAAGAAUAAGGACCGGCUAACUACGUGCCAGCAGCCGCGGUAAUACGUAGGGUCCAAGCGUUAAUCGGAAUUACUGGGCGUAAAGCGUGCGCAGGCGGUUGUGCAAGACCGAUGUGAAAUCCCCGAGCUUAACUUGGGAAUUGCAUUGGUGACUGCACGGCUAGAGUGUGUCAGAGGGGGGUAGAAUUCCACGUGUAGCAGUGAAAUGCGUAGAGAUGUGGAGGAAUACCGAUGGAGAAGACAGCCCCCUGGGAUAACACUGACGCUCAUGCACGAAAGCGUGGGGAGCAAACAGG